CUAUCUCUUUUUCUCUCUCCGUUUUCUCCGUUUUCAUUCUUUUUUCUUUUUUCUUUUGCAUUCCAUUCUUUUUCACACCGUUUCGUCUGAUAUCGAUUUUUCUUUCAUCAUCCACGUUCUAUCCAUCAUCAGCUUCACUUCGUUUCACGCGUCUCUACGAAUCGGUUACGUAUCGUUGCGUCUGUUUGUACAUUUUGAUUUUCACUCUGUGUUCAUCCUUCGUUCGUUAUCGUCACGCUAUUUCCCAUUUAUUUCUAUUCUUAUAUACUUACAUGAUGUAUUUUACGGGAGAGGAAGCAUGUAUGGUUAAGCGCGGCGCGGUAGAUCGCUGAUUGGUCGGACACUCCUACUACUACUACUACUACUACUAUUACUACUACUACUACUAUUACUACUACUACUACUACUAUUACUACUACUACUACUACUACUACUACUACUACUACUAUUACUAUUACUACUGCUACUACUACUACUACUACUACUACUACUACUAUUACUAUUACUACUACUAUUACUACUUACCUACUUACUUACUACUGUUACUUACAACUACUACUAUCAUUACUAUACUAUUACCACUACUAUCUAUCCCUUACUUACGUUAAUUGUUAUCACUCGUCGAAGCCGAAUUUCUAGAUAUCGGUCCAGGGAUCCGAGGUAAAUCGAUACUAAGAAUUGACUGGUGGACGGGAACGUUCGCAAGAGAACGUGCGAAAGUGUGGAGGAUCGAGGACGAGGAGAGUCGAGAGGCUCGGCUUCGACGACUUUAGCGGAAAACAUCCCUAGAUGUGUGUACGAGUUCGGAAAACCGGAUGCCGGAUUGUCCUUAGCGCGAUGAUCCGUAAUAUAUAGGUUGACGAACAGACACUGACGCAGGUGCGGAGGCAGGGGAUCGGCGAUCACCCGUGUACUACAGCUGUGUUCGGCACGUUCGGCUUCCUGCUGCCGCCUAGCCCCGCUUUGCUUACAAUGUAUUACAAUCGCGCUAAUAAUGUAAAAGGAAAAAAAAAAAAAAAAAAAAAAAGGAAAGGAAAGGUAGAGCGGUGUAAAGCGGCUGCUAUCCGGGAGAUACCGGAUACCUUCACCUCGCGUCCGGGAAAUAAUUGGUCCACAGGUGGACGAGGAAUCUCUAGGGACGAGACAGACACGAUGAGAGGGCAGGCCAGCAGGCUACACCAGGGUGUGAGAGCACUGAUAUGGCAGAGAUGCGAAAUGCGGGAGAGAGAGAGAGACACGGUUUGGAGAUGGAGAGAGAGCGAGACGACACGAUGAGAGAGGUCCUCCUCCGUGUACUCCUCCCGAGAUCGGAAAAAAAA